rnacentral:rRNA from 1 species
UGUGUAGGCGGUUCUUUAAGUUUGGUGUGAAAUCUCCCGGCUCAACCGGGAGGGUGCGCCGAAUACUGAGGGACUAGAGUGCGGGAGAGGAAAGUGGAAUUCCUGGUGUAGCGGUGAAAUGCGUAGAUAUCAGGAGGAACACCGGUGGUGUAGACGGCUUCUGGACCGUAACUGACGCUGAGACACGAAAGACGUGGGUAGCAAAACA